CGGUGUCCCACCCAACUAGAGGAGCCUGUUCUAUAAUCGAUAACCCCCGAUAUACCCUACCCCCACCUCGCCAAUCAGCCUGUAUACCUCCGUCGCAAACUUACCAUAUGAAUGCCAAUAGUAAGUUAAAUAGUUCGUAACAAACACGUCAGGUCAAGGUGCAGCUCAUGAUGGGGAAAGCAAUGGGCUACAAUUUCUAAAAUAGAACAUACGAAAUGCUGCAUGAAACACAGCCACGAAGGCGGAUUUAGUAGUAAAAAGCGAUCAUAGAGCCCUUUUUAAUAAGGCCCUGGGACGUGUACACACCGCCCGUCACCCUCUUCAACAGCACAUAACAUGUUUUUAACAACUAUCGCACCUCAGAAGAGGCAAGUCGUAACAUGGUAAGUGUACCGGAAGGUGCACUUGGAUCAACAAAGUAUAGUUUAACAAAACCUCCCGCUUACACCGAGAAUAUAUCUGUGAAAGUCAGAUUACUUUGAGCCUAAAAUUAAGCCUAAUAUACUCUUAUGAAAGACAUACCCCCUACUAAAAAUAAAUAAAACAUUUUAUCAGUUUAGUAAAGGCGAUUAAAAAACUUCCUAGCGCUUUAUCUCAAGUACCGCAAGGGAAAAAUGAAAUAGUUCUGAAAUAGCCCUAAAGCAAAACACAGCAGAGACACUCCCUCGUACCUUUUGCAUCAUGGUUUAGCUAGUCUUCCUCAAGCAAAGUGAAACAUCAGUUUGACCCCCCGAAACUAAGCGAGCUACUUCAAAACAGCUCAAUGGAGCCAACCCGUCUCUGUCGCAAAAGAGUGGGAUGAUUUUUAAGUAGUGGUGAAAAGCCUACCGAGCUUAGAGAUAGCUGGUUAUUCAGGAAAAGAAUUUUAGUUCUACCUUAAGUUUUCUUAUUUAUUCUAUAAGCCCAUUAAACUUAAGAGCUAUUCAAAUAAGGCACAGCUUAUUUGAAAAAGGAUACAACCUAUAAGAAAGGGUAAAAUUUGUUUGCACAAAGUAAGUGGGCCUAAAAGCAGCCACCUUUAAGAAAGCGUUAAAGCUCUCUUUCCCAAACCCCCAAUACCCAAAAAUACCUUUAACCCUUUAUUUUUACUGAAUGAGUCUAUACAAUUAUAGAAGCCCCCAUGCUAAAACUAGUAACAAGAAAUUGACUUUCUCCAAAGUAUAAACAUAAGCCAAAAUGGACAAACCAUUGGUCGUUAGCGUCAAUAUGUUAAUAUAGUAACUAUACUAGAAAACUCUAUUACCUCCUACGUUAACCUUACACAAGUGUACUCCUGGAAAGAUUAAAAGAAAGGGAAGGAACUCGGCAAAUAAUAACCCCGCCUGUUUACCAAAAACAUCGCCUCUUGACAUACCAUAAGAGGUCCAGCCUGCCCAGUGAUAUAAUUAAACGGCCGCGGUACCCUGACCGUGCAAAGGUAGCAUAAUCACUUGUUCUCUAAAUAAGGACUCGUAUCAACGGCAUCACGAGGGUUAUACUGUCUCCCCAUUCUAAUCAGUGAAACUGACUUUCCCGUGAAGAGGCGGGAAUGCUAAUACAAGACGAGAAGACCCCAUGGAGCUUUAAACCCAAUGUCAACCUCCACUAAACCUACCUAAAAAACAGAGAGGCUAUGAACAUUGGUUUUGGGUUGGGGUGACCACGGAGAAAAACAAAACCUCCAUGACGAAAGGACCUUAAUCCUAAUCUACGAGCUACUACUCCAAGAAUCACUAAUUUGACAUAUCUGAUCCGGCAACCGAUCAACGAACCAAGUUACCCUGGGGAUAACAGCGCAAUCCAUUUCAAGAGCCCCUAUCGACAAAUGGGUUUACGACCUCGAUGUUGGAUCAGGGUAUCCCAGUGGUGCAGCCGCUACUAAAGGUUUGUUUGUUCAACAAUUAAAACCCUACGUGAUCUGAG
rnacentral:misc_RNA from 1 species